ensembl:lncRNA LINC01381 long intergenic non-protein coding RNA 1381
GCCUCUGCGCGGCGCUCGCCCGGGACUGGGACGCAGAGCCGCGGACGGCUUUGGGGACGCCAGGGCUCCGGACUUCCCCGGCGGCGCCUCACGGGCGGCAAUCGCCCGCGAGCCUUGGGGCGCGGCACCCAGGGCCUCCCCACCGGGCUCCGAGGGACGCAGCGGCCUCGCCACCGCAUUAGGCCGAAUCCGGUGCCUUCUAGAAAUGGCCUCCUGCAGCUCCAGAGCGCCUGCAGGAUAUUAUCAGCCAAGCUAGAACACAAGGCAGCCCACCAACCCAGCACAGAUUUGAACAGGCAGCUGAGGAGAGAGCCUGGGAUGCCAGCUCUGAAGUGUUCACCGCUAGAAGUGUUCCCUUGUCAAAGAAAGAAGCCAUCCCUUGUCAGUAGAUGGUCAGGAGUUCAAGACCAGCCUGGGCAACAUGGUGAAACCCCGUCUUUACAAAAAAAUACAAACAUUAGCCAGG